UUCCCUCCAGCAGUCUGUUACCCAAGAGUCCCGCAUGGAGACUAACUGGCAGGACAUGUAGCUCCACAGGGCCAGUUUCGUCUCACUGAGUCCUGGGUCUGAGGAUGAAGCCCUGCUGUGGACCUUCUGAUGAACAUAAGUGCAUCCUAACCACAACCAGUCAAGAACCCUUCCUGGAUUCUGCCAGCUCUGUGGUCCCUGAUGAAGAUGUAGCUCUCAGCCCUGAUGAUGCAGCUCCCGUGCCCUGCCCGCCCGCCUGCCACUCUACUCCCUGCUAUAUUGUUCAUGGACUUACCCUCUGAAACUAUAGCCAAUCCUCCAAUUAAAUGUUUUCUUCUUUAA
rnacentral:lncRNA from 1 species